CAGAUAUCUGUGUCAGAAGUUAAUCAUGGAACCAAGUUCCAUACCCUGUUUGAGAAAAUGUAAAAUUUUUCUCAUUUUUGCACCAAGUUUUGCCUAUAACUCUGUCGGUAUCCAACGGAUCUCCAAUCUUUAACCUGUGGUCGAUAGAUGGCACCAAUGGCUACAUUUUCUGCUUGGACGGCCAUGCCCUCAGAUGUCUGUGCCAGAAGUUAUUCGAGGAACCAAGUUCCUUACCCUGUUUGAGAAAAUGUAAAAUUUUCCUCAUUUUUGAGCGAUGUAGCAAAAAUUUGAAAUGUGAUAUAUUUUGAUGGGAAUUUGUUGCAAUAAGUUUCUUUUCACUUAAAUAGUGCUUUAAAUUAAAAAAAGAAUAAAAAAUCAGAAAAAAAUUUCAAAAAAAUUUUCCACUCGAAAAUUUCAUGAGGCUUACCCCUUACGAUUUUUUUGGGAAAUUUUGCAAAAAAAAAUAAAUUGUUUUAUUUUUAUGCCAAUGGGUUGCAAUGAGUUUCUUUUCACUCUAAUAAUGCUUGAAAUAAAAUAAAAGUGAAAAAUAAUAAAAAAAUCAAAAAAUUAAAAAAAAAAGAAAAUUUUCUUCAUUUUUGCACCAAGUUUUGCCUAUAACUCGGUCGGUAUCCAACGAAUAGCCAAUCUUUAACUUGUGGUCCAUAGAUGGCACCAAUGGCUACAUUUUCUUCUUGGACGGCCAUGCCCUCAGAUGUCUGUGCCAGAAGUUAUUCGAGCAACCAAGUUCCUUACCCUGUUUGAGAAAAUGUAAAAUUUUCCUCAUUUUUGAGCAAUGUAGCAAAAAUUUGAAAUGUGAUAUAUUUUGAUGGGAAUUUGUUGCAAUAAGUUUCUUUUCACUUAAAUAGUGCUUUAAAUUAAAAAAAGAAUAAAAAAUCAAAAAAAAAUUCAAAAAAAUUUUCCACUCGAAAAUUUCAUAAGGCUUACCCCUUAGGAUUUUUUUGGGAAAUUUUGCAAAAAAAAUUAAAUUGUUUUAUUUUAAUGCCAAUGGGUUGCAAUGAGUUUCUUUUCACUCUAAUAAUGCUUGAAAUAAAAAAAAAGUGAAAAAUAAUAAAAAAAUCCAAAAAUUCAAAAAAAAAAAAGAAAAUUUUCUUCAUUUUUGCAGCAAGUUUUGCCUAUAACUCGGUCGGUAUCCAACGAAUAGCCAAUCUUUAACUUGUGGUCCAUAGAUGGCACCAAUGGCUACAUUUUCUUCUUGGACAGCCAUGCCCUCAGAUGUCUGUGCCAGAAGUUAUUCGAGGAACCAAGUUCCUUACCCUGUUUGAGAAAAUGUAAAAUAUUCCUCAUUUUUGAGCAAUGUAGCGAAAAUUUGAAAUGUGAUAUAUUUUGAUGGGAAUUUGUUGCAAUAAGUUUCUUUUCACUUAAAUAGUGCUUUAAAUUAAAAAAAGAAUAAAAAAUCAAAAAAAAAUUUCAAAAAAAUUUUUCACUCGAAAAUUUCAUAAGGCAUACCCCUUACGAUUUUUUUAAGAAAUUUUGCAAAAAAAAUUAAAUUGUUUUAUUUUAAUGCCAAUGGGUUGCAAUGAGUUUCUUUUCACUCUAAUAAUGCUUGAAAUAAAAAAAAAGUGAAAAAUAAUAAAAAAAUCAAAAAAAUCAAAAAAAAAAGAAAAUUUUCUUCAUUUUUGCACCAAGUUUUGCCUAUAACUCGGUCGGUAUCCAACGAAUAGCCAAUCUUUAACUUGUGGUCCAUAGAUGGCACCAAUGGCUACAUUUUCUUCAUGGACGGCCAUGCCCUCAGAUGUCUGUGCCAGAAGUUAUUCGAGGAACCAAGUUCCUUACCCUGUUUGAGAAAAUGUAAAAUUUUCUUCAUUUUUGCACCAAGUUUUGCCUAUAACUCGGUCGGUAUCCAACGAAUCGCCAAACUUUAACUUGUGGUCGAUAGAUGGCACCAAUGGCUACAUUUUCUUCUUGGACAACCAUGCCCUCAGAUGUCUGUGCCAGAAGUUAUUCGAGGAACCAAGUUCCUUACCCUGUUUGAGAAAAUGUAAAAUUUUCUUCAUUUUUGCACCAAGUUUUGCCUAUAACUCGGUCGGUAUCCAACGAAUAGCCAAUCUUUAACUUGUGGUCGAUAGAUGGCACCAAUGGCUACAUUUUCUGCUGGGACGGCCAUGCCCUCAGAUGUCUGUGCCAGAAGUUAUUCGAGGAACCAAGUUCCAUACCCUGUUUGAGAAAAUGUAAAAUUUUCCUCAUUUUUGAGCAAUGUAGCAAAAAUUUGAAAUGUGAUAUAUUUUGAUGGCAAUUUGUUGCAAUAAGUUUCUUUUCACUUAAAUAGUGCUUUAAAUUAAAAAAAGAAUAAAAAAUCAAAAAAAAAUUUCAAAAAAAUUUUCCACUCGAAAAUUUCAUAAGGCUUACCCCUUACGAUUUUUUUGGGAAAUUUUGCAAAAAAAAUUAAAUUGUUUUAUUUUAAUGCCAAUGGGUUGCAAUGAGUUUCUUUUCACUCUAAUAAUGCUUAAAAUAAAAAAAAAUGAAAAAUAAUAAAAAAAUCAAAAAAUUCAAAAAAAAAAAGAAAAUUUUCUUCAUUUUUGCACCAAGUUUUGCCUAUAACUCGGUCGGUAUCCAACGAAUCGCCAAACUUUAACUUGUGGUCGAUAGAUGGCACCAAUGGCUACAUUUUCUGCUGGGACGGCCAUGCCCUCAGAUGUCUGUGCCAGAAGUUAUUCGAGGAACCAAGUUCCUUACCCUGUUUGAGAAAAUGUAAAAUUUUCCUCAUUUUUGAGCAAUGUAGCAAAAAUUUGAAAUGUGAUAUAUUUUGAUGGGAAUUUGUUGCAAUAAGUUUCUUUUCACUUAAAUAGUGCUUUAAAUUAAAAAAAGAAUAAAAAAUCAAAAAAAAAUUUCAAAAAAAUUUUCCACUCGAAAAUUUCAUAAGGCUUACCCCUUACGAUUUUUUUUGGGAAAUUUUGCAAAAAAAAUUAAAUUGUUUUAUUUUAAUGCCAAUGGGUUGCAAUGAGUUUCUUUUCACUCUAAUAAUGCUUGAAAUAAAAAAAAAGUGAAAAAUAAUAAAAAAAUCAAAAAAUUCAAAAAAAAAAGAAAAUUUUCUUCAUUUUUGCACCA